rnacentral:tRNA from 1 species
GCCUAGCUAGCUCGGUAGAGUGUGCGACUUUUGAUCUCGGGGUCAUGAGUUCAAGUCCCAUGUUGGGUG